GAUUUUUUUCUUAUACUUCGUGUGCUUGCAGGUCUCCGGUUGUAGAGAGUGAUGUCUGAUGACAGUGAUCAGGAGCCUUCUCAGCCAUUGCUGAAAAGUUACAGGCAAAGACGACAUAAACGAGCUAGGGUAGAGCAGGUUCCAGGGUUCUGCCAUUGGUUCAAUAUAAAGUUCGAAAAUGACCGAGCCAUAUACACAUAUGAGCUCAUGCAGGAUUAUAGCAAGGGAGACUUUGAAAUCUUAAUUUAAACAUGUUAAUGGUUCCACGGCUCUGCAAGUUGUUCAACAUAAAAUUCGAAAAUGAACAAACCAUUUACUUACAUAAGCUCAUGGAGAGACUUGGAAUUCUUAAUUUAGAUGUGUUAAUGAUGUUGACAGAAUUUCUUAUUAUAUUAAUAUACAUAUAAACGAAAUUGUGA